GACGAACGCUGGCGGCGUGCUUAACACAUGCAAGUCGAGCGGGAUCCAACCGGUGGCAACACCGGGGAAGAUCUAGCGGCGAACGGGUGAGUAACACGUGAGCAACCUGCCCCGAAGACUGGGAGUAACACCGGGAAACCGGUGCUAAUACCGGAUGUCGUCAUUAGGCCGCAUGACCUGAUGAUGAAAGGAUUCAUCGCUUCGGGAGGGGCUCGCGGGCUAUCAGCUUGNGGUGGGGUAACGGCCUACCAAGGCGACGACGGCUAGCUGGUCUGAGAGGACGACCAGCCACACUGGGACUGAGACACGGCCCAGACUCCUACGGGAGGCAGCAGUGGGGAAUAUUGGACAAUGGGGGCAACCCUGAUCCAGCGACGCCGCGUGGGUGAAGAAGGCCUGCGGGUUGUAAAGCCCUUUCGGUGGGGAAGAAAGUCUCGACCUAAUACGUCGGGACCUUGACGUAACCCACUAAAGAAGCACCGGCUAACUCUGUGCCA
rnacentral:rRNA from 1 species